rnacentral:misc_RNA from 1 species
AGACAUGCAAUUAAUCCCAGAGCUUUAUUUCUGUGGAAUCCGGCUGGUAAGGCACAUUCACUUUCAAACGUAGGAAGCCUUGCCAUUCCAACGAAAGGUUCCAGUUGUUGUUAAAUCAACCUGAACUAACCCCUCGAAAAAGUUCUGCAUUCUGUUGGUUGAUUUGGUUUGGAGCUAAACCAUAUGCUUGUAUCGGUAAGGGUUUGGUGCCAAAAUGCACCUCCUCUACAGUGAUGCUCUGGUCCCACUGUUCCACAACCAUGUGCUGCU